AGAAAUCUAAUUCAAUGCUCUACUUGAAAAUCUCUGAUCAUGCUUUUGGAUCAGAGCUUUUCUCAAAUGUUACAUCUUUUCUAGGAUUGUAUUUAUUUGCAAAAGCAUUUCCUUAGAAGUUUUAAAACUGUUUAAUAUAUUCAUUCUUUGUUUUUAUAGGCAUACUGAGUAAAGCCCAUAUUUUCAAUUUCAUAUACAUGUCUUCCAGGAAAAAAAUUGUUUUCAGCAUGGGACACAUCUUCUGUAAUGACUCCUUGUCAAAUAUGUACUCUUCAAAAUAAAGUACAAAAAGUUGUGAGUUUUCCAAUCUUAGAGGAAAAGAAUAGAGGAAAUGGUGCAAUUCACACACCUGCAGAAACUCCAGGGGUGGUUGAGCAUGUGACGGAUGAUUGAACCAAAGGUUUCCUUUCAAGGGUAGAAGUUUAAAAUAUGGAGAAGAUCAGUGAAAGAGCAGAGCAUAGACGUAUGCACUUGGAAGAAGCCCAAACAAUCCACCAGCAACUCAUGAGCUAGCAGCAGAAAAGAUGACAGAGCUGGGGCUGGCAGAGCGAGGAAUGAAAGAGAGAGAACAGAUCAGUGUUCAGUUUGAAAGAGCCAUAAUUCAGCAGUCUUUCUACAUUACCUCUCAGAAUAAGGAGCCUGCGUGUCUAAAGAGAGAAGUGAAGUUUAAGUACUGGAAAAAAGGAAAGUCUUCAGCCUUGGGAAUGUAAUAACUUGGGGUCAGCUGAGAACCCUGAGGAGUACUGACCCAAUCAGCUGCUGGGAGAAGCAACAUAACUGUUCUGCUGGAGGGAGAAACAAAUUCUAAUCAGAUGUGAGCCAACCAUCCAGGGAGCUUCUGUUGUCAUGAGAAAAGGAAGUGCUCUUCCUUUCAACUGGAAAACUAGAAUGUGCCACUUUUUUUUUGUUAAUGCUCCCUCUUUUCUUUUUUUAUUAGCUUUGUAAUAAAAAUUUAAUUUAAAAGUUGAUAUGCAAACAAGAAGUGUGUAACAAUCUGAAUAUUUAACAUUGAUAGAUUUAUCUAUUUUAGAAAAUUAAAGUGAAUAUAUCUGAGUUUUAGAGUUUAAUGUUUACUGCACACAGGAUGAAACAGAAACUAAACUUUGUUACAUUUUUAAAAAAUUCUUUAACUUAUUCAGUUGGAUUUACUGUUUGUAAAGUGAAAAGAAACUCUUUUUCUCCAAAAUUUUUGUCCUUUACUGAGUGACUUUAGAAAAUUGAUUUCACUAUUCCAAGUUUUAGUUUUUUAUUCAGAAAUUAAGAAAUAUGUCAGUAUGUGUCUAUUAUUACUGUAGAUCACUUCUUGGCCUUUUGGCUAAGAUCAAGUGUAUUAUUAUUAUAGAAUGGGUUCUCAGAUAAAGAAAAAAACUAAGAAUUUUCUCAGAUUUUUGGGAGUAUUUCAUUAUAAAAACAAAAACUAUAUAAGAUUAAAUUGAUAUUACCUUUUCGAUGGACUCACUUGAAAAAGAGUUACAAGAUGCAAUUUGAGGAGUUUUACGGGCCAAUGUUAAGGCUAGGCAUACAUUUUCUAUUUUGAAAUCUCUGGUAUCUUUGUGGUACCCAGAAUAUGUAGUGAGGUAAAUAGAUAUCACCUUAAGAA
rnacentral:lncRNA from 1 species